UCCUGGCUUAGGACGAACGCUGGCGGCAUGCCUAACACAUGCAAGUCGAACGGAGUAAUGACUUCGGUUAUACUUAGUGGCGAACGGGUGAGUAACACGUGAAUAAUCUGCCCUGUACGAUGGGAUAACAGCUGGAAACGGCUGCUAAUACCGUAUAUGACCACGCCGAGGCAUCUCGGAGGGGUGAAAGCGCUUAAGCGGUACAGGAUGAGUUCGCGUCCAAUUAGCUAGUUGGUGAGGUAACGGCCCACCAAGGCGACGAUUGGUAGCCGACCUGAGAGGGUGAUCGGCCACACUGGAACUGAGACACGGUCCAGACUCCUACGGGAGGCAGCAGUGGGGAAUAUUGGGCAAUGGGGGAAACUCCUUACCCAGCAAUGCCGCGUGAGUGAUGAAGGUCUUCGGAUUGUAAAGCUCUUUGAUUGGGGACGAAUAAAUGACGGUACCCAAGGAACAAGCCCCGGCUAACUAUGUGCCAGCCGCCGC
rnacentral:rRNA from 1 species